GACGAACGCUGGCGGCGUGCUUAACACAUGCAAGUCGAACGGAAAGGCCCUGCUUUUGUGGGGUGCUCGAGUGGCGAACGGGUGAGUAACACGUGAGUAACCUGCCCUUGACUUUGGGAUAACUUCAGGAAACUGGGGCUAAUACCGGAUAGGAGAUCCUGCUGCAUGGUGGGGGUUGGAAAGUUUCGGCGGUUGGGGAUGGAAUCGCGGCUUAUCAGCUUGUUUGUGGAGUAGUGGCUUACCAAGGGUUUGACGGGUAGCCGGCCUGAGCGGGUGACCGGCCACAUUGGGACUGAGAGACGGCCCAGACUCCUACGGGAGGCAGCAGUGGGGAAUAUUGCACAAUGGGCGGAAGCCUGAUGCAGCAACGCCGCGUGCGUGAUGACGGCCUUCGGGUUGUAAACCGCUGUCGCCUGUGACGAAGCGUGAGUGACGGUAAUGGGUAAAGAAGCACCGGCUAACUACGUG
rnacentral:rRNA from 1 species